rnacentral:lncRNA from 1 species
CUCAUCUCUGGGAAGCCACAACAACUUAGAGUGUGCCCAAAGGAAAGCUACAACAACCAUCUGAAGGGCUCAGAGAAAAGCCAGGAGGGAACUGUGGGAGGAAGUAGGAGGCUGUAGUGAGGCAUCCACUGACAGGAGCGAUGGCUUGACUGGGGAAUCCUGAGGGUUCACAACGUGCAGUCAUUAGCUCAGGAAGAGCAGCUGUGGGUUUCAUCACCACGAGUUCAGCAAAGGCGCAUGUGGGUGAUUAGAGGGAUGGAAUGAAGGUGGUCUGUGGGCAUCACCAUCCCCUCUCUUCUUGUUGAGCAGGAGAACUCCACUCUGAACAGGAAGCAGAACAGCAGAGUCCUGGGAGGGACAGAGACCUGGGAUCUCAUCUGAGUCCCUGCAUCUACU